rnacentral:rRNA from 1 species
CCUACGGGUGGCAGCAGUGAGGAAUAUUGGUCAAUGGGCGCGAGCCUGAACCAGCCAAGUAGCGUGAAGGAUGACAGCCCUAUGGGUUGUAAACUUCUUUUAUAAAGGAAUAAAGUGAGGCACGUGUGCCUUUUUGUAUGUACCUUAUGAAUAAGGAUCGGCUAAUUCCGUGCCAGCAGCCGCGGUAAUACGGAGGAUGCGAGCGUUAUCCGGAUUUAUUGGGUUUAAAGGGAGCGUAGAGGGGUUGUUAAGUCAGUUGUGAAAGUCUGCGGCUCAACCGUAAAAUUGCAGUUGAUACUGGCAGCCUUGAGUACGCGUGAGGUAGGCGGAAUUCGUGGUGUAGCGGUGAAAUGCUUAGAUAUCACGAAGAACUCCGAUUGCGAAGGCAGCCUACUGGA